CCUACGUGUGGCAGCAGUGAGGAAUAUUGGUCAAUGGGCGCGAGCCUGAACCAGCCAAGUAGCGUGAAGGAUGACUGCCCUACGGGUUGUAAACUUCUUUUAUAAAGGAAUAAAGUGAGGCACGUGUGCCUUUUUGUAUGUACUUUAUGAAUAAGGAUCGGCUAACUCCGUUCCAGCAGCCGCGGUAAUACGGAGGAUCCGAGCGUUAUCCGGAUUGAUUGGGUUUAAAGGGCGCGUAGAUGGGUUGUUAAGUCAGUUGUGAAAGUUUGCAGCUCAACCGUAAAAUUGCAAUUGAUACUGGCAGUCUUGAGUACAGUUGAGGUAGGCGGAAUUCGUGGUGUAGCGGUGAAAUGCUUAGAUAUCACGAAGAACUCCGAUUGCGAAGGCAGCUUACUAAACUGCCGCUGACACUGAUGCUCGAAAGUGUGGGUAUCAAACAGGAUUAGAUACCCGAGUAGUC
rnacentral:rRNA from 1 species